UGACCUACGGGAGGCAGCAGUGGGGGAUAUUGCACAAUGGGGGAAACCCUGAUGCAGCGACGCCGCGUGAGUGAAGAAGUAUUUCGGUACGUAAAGCUCUAUCAGCAGGGAAGAAAAAUGACGGUACCUGACUAAGAAGCCCCGGCUAACUACGUGCCAGCAGCCGCGGUAAUACGUAGGGGGCAAGCGUUAUCCGGAUUUACUGGGUGUAAAGGGAGCGUAGACGGCUGUGCAAGUCUGAAGUGAAAUGCCGGGGCCCAACCCCGGAACUGCUUUGGAAACUGUACAGCUA
rnacentral:rRNA from 1 species